GAUUAUCUAGUUGGCGGGGUAAAGGCCCACCAAGGCGACGAUCCGUAGCUGGUCUGAGAGGAUGAUCAGCCACACUGGAACUGAGACACGGUCCAGACUCCUACGGGAGGCAGCAGUGGGGAAUAUUGGACAAUGGGCGCAAGCCUGAUCCAGCCAUGCCGCGUGGGUGAAGAAGGCCUUCGGGUUGUAAAGCCCUUUUGUUGGGAAAGAAAAGCAGUCGGUUAAUACCCGAUUGUUCUGACGGUACCCAAAGAAUAAGCACCGGCUAACUUCGUGCCAGCAGCCGCGGUAAUACGAAGGGUGCAAGCGUUACUCGGAAUUACUGGGCGUAAAGCGUGCGUAGGUGGUUUGUUAAGUCUGAUGUGAAAGCCCUGGGCUCAACCU
rnacentral:rRNA from 1 species